ACAGGAUUAGAUACCCUGGUAGUCUACGCCGUAAACGAUGGAUACUAGUUGUUUGGCUUUCGAGCUGAGUGACUAAGCGAAAGUGAUAAGUAUCCCACCUGGGGAGUACGUUCGCAAGAAUGAAACUCAAAGGAAUUGACGGGGACCCGCACAAGCGGUGGAUGAUGUGGUUUAAUUCGAUGCAACGCGAAGAACCUUACCAGGG
rnacentral:rRNA from 1 species